rnacentral:rRNA from 1 species
AUUGAACGCUGGCGGCAGGCCUAACACAUGCAAGUCGAGCGGAUGAAGGGAGCUUGCUCCUGGAUUCAGCGGCGGACGGGUGAGUAAUGCCUAGGAAUCUGCCUGGUAGUGGGGGAUAACGUCCGGAAACGGGCGCUAAUACCGCAUACGUCCUGAGGGAGAAAGUGGGGGAUCUUCGGACCUCACGCUAUCAGAUGAGCCUAGGUCGGAUUAGCUAGUUGGUGGGGUAAAGGCCUACCAAGGCGACGAUCCGUAACUGGUCUGAGAGGAUGAUCAGUCAACCCGGGACGGAGAACCGGGCCAGACCCCUGAGGGGGGGAGGCGGGGGGAAAUUUGGAACAUGGGGGGAAGCCUGGUGCAGGCCUGCCCGGGGGUGGAAAAAGGGUUUUGGGUUUUAAAAGAAUUUUAAGUGGGGAGAAAGGGAAUUAAGUAAAAACCUGUCUUUUUGAAGGUAACCAACAAAAAAAGCACGGGUAAACUUGUG